UAUCACCUUAAGGAAUAUUGGCUGCUUAAUUUGAAUUUAUGAAUUCUUCAUCAUCUUCUGCCAAAAGCCCUUCCAGUAGCACAAGUGUUCACUGUCUAAAGCCAUAUUCUUUGUCAAUACUUUAGACCAACUGGAUAGAAAGGAGAUAGAAGAGGAUCUCGGGAAGCAGAUCACAAGCCUGAUACAAGAUGCCCCUUGCUGGAGCAGGAACUGGAAAACAAGACAUGUUGGCUGGAAGGGUAAGCAGAACUGAUUCUGUGACUGCCACUGGCCUUCAUUACUUAAUUCAGCUUCUACAACUAAUGACCUCAGGGUAAGCAAAGGGAUUCAUGAACUUGAAAUUUUUUUUCAUAAUUAUAUUGCAAUAUAAUUGGUUUCCUUGUUAUUCUUUUGUUUUU
rnacentral:lncRNA from 1 species